rnacentral:rRNA from 1 species
UACGUAGGGGGCAAGCGUUGUCCGGAUUUAUUGGGCGUAAAGAGCUCGUAGGCGGUUCCGUAAGUCGUGAAGUCAAAUCUCUGGGCUCAACCCAGAAUCGCUUCCGAUACUGCGGUGACUGGAGUCCGGUAGGGGAGUGUGGAAUUCCUGGUGUAGCGGUGAAAUGCGUAGAUAUCGGGAGGAACACCAGUGGCGAAGGCGGCUUCCUGGCCUGUUCUUGACGCUGAGGCGCGAAAGCUAGGGGAGCAAACGGG